rnacentral:rRNA from 1 species
UGUGGUUUAAUUCGAAGCAACGACGAAGAACCUUACCAGAUCUUGACAUCCAUUGACCAUUCUUUAAUCGAGAUUUUGCCUUCGGGUACAAUUGAGACAGGUGGUGCAUGGUUGUCGUCAGCUCGUGUCGUGAGAUGUUGGGUUAAGUCCCGCAACGAGCGCAACCCUUGUGUUUAGUUGCAAACAGGUCAAGCUGUGCACUCUAGACAGACUGCCGUGGACAACACGGAGGAAGGUGGGGAUGACGUCAAAUCAUCAUGCCCCUUAUGAUCUGGGCUACACACGUGCUACAAUGGCCGGUACAACGGGCAGCGAAGGAGCGAUCCGGAGCGAAUCCUAAAAAGCCGGUCCCAGUUCGGAUUGAAGUCUGCAACUCGACUUCAUGAAGCUGGAAUCGCUAGUAAUCGCAGAUCAGCCAAGCUGCGGUGAAUACGUUCCCGGGCCUU